rnacentral:lncRNA from 1 species
UGCCUACCACUAUGCUUUUCCCCGUGGUGACUUCCCUGGCCUCAAUCCUUGGGGCCUGAGAGCAGUUUCCCAAUAAACCUGCCUUUAAUAUUAUAUAAUCUGGCUUGAAUUGGCUUAUAUCACUGGUGGCAGAGAGAUAACUUAUCAUUAAGUGCCAAUGAUAACAAUUUAUAGACAAUAAAAUGGUGUUUGCAAUAACUUAAGCAAUUUGCCAAAAAAUAUGCAGCUGGUUAUGUAAAUUCAACUUCUCAGAUAUGAACUCCUGGCUACUCUGUCCUUCAGCCUGUAUUCUUC